AAGCCUCAAGUUAUGUGUGACAACCCCCUGAAUUUAAGCAUAUUAAUAAGGGGAGGAAAAGAAACCAACCGGGAUUCCCUGAGUAGCUGCGAGCGAAACGGGAGAAGCUCAGCACGUAGGGA
rnacentral:ncRNA from 1 species